ACCGGGCAGUGCCGCGAAGCUACCAUCUGCUGGAUAAUAGCUGAACGCCUCUAAGUUAGAAUCCAUGCCAGAACGGGACGAUUUUCUCCAGCACGUCGUACGAGGAUACGAAUAG
rnacentral:rRNA from 1 species